CAAGUCUCUACUCUCCUACCAACAGGCCUUGGAGACAAGCCUCUUCUCUCCUACCAACAGGCCUUGGAGACGAGUCUCUACACUCCUACCAAAUGCCAAAAACCCAAAGUGUACAGUUGGAAAGAGCUGUUUUGUCCAGAUAAUGACGAGUGUGUGGUCUAUUUUGGCGAGCACUACAAAAUCUUUACUACUCCUCAGUACCUCUGCAGUCUUCUUGAGUACUGUAUGUGCUCGAAGAGUCUAUUUUGCGAUGGAUUUGCACUGCAAUUUGUGAUUUCCCCGAAGAGCACAAGGACGGGCAAAGACUGUACAAGUAAUGCCUUAGAGAACACAGUAAUUAAAACUAACUCAUUGGAACUGAGCGAGAGAGAAAGAGAAAUGCUGAGAAUGCUUUUGCUGAACAGUGUUGAGGUUUGACAAGAACGGUUUCCUCAUCCAGAUACUUUUAGUGUCCGGAUUAUCACAUUGACCUAAAGGAAGGAUUUAGUGAGUAAAAUCAAUAAAGACUACACCAUAAACCGUGGGACUCGGAGACAGUUUUCAGCAGAGAAUCAAUAUUCUUUUUUUGGGGGUUGGUUUUAUCCUCGUUUCUGGAAGGAACAACACUGCAUGGAAACUAAAGCAUGUUCCUAAAUGGAUUCGGUGGCACUUGCCUGAACCUAACAAAAGCUUAAAACUUUCUUUCCUUUCUUGGACUCUGCACUUUGAAAAAGAGAUAAUUUCCUCUUAUCUUAAUGAAACGAGACAGAUUGUAAAGCCUUACCUGAAACGCAUGCUAAAACGAAAUUGAUUUACACUAUUUUUAUGGCAACCAAUGUAAGCCAUUUUCAGAUUCACUUUUGACUUCCUCGAAUACCUGGCAUCCUCCGAAUUCUUCAUGUUUUGUGGUGUUUCCAGCUCAUUUCACUUUACCCUAACUGGUUUGAGAGAAGCACACAUUAGCUGGACAAGAUGGACCCGUAUUUUUCCCUCAGACCUGGGAAAGGGUUGGAACGGUCCAGUAGCAAACGCAAGAGGAGGAAAACAGAGAAGUCUUUUGUGUCAGGAAUCACUGCUGCCAUGAUGUUUAAAACAUCAAGGUGCCAGAGCCAACUGCAGAGACACAGCACAUAUGUGCACGUUGCUGGCAAUCUGCAUAGGAGGCUAGCUUUGAAGACCAGAAAACACAUCGGCGGACUGUACAACGUCAAAGGCAACCGGGCCAACACGUUAUGGCAUCCUUCCAUUUAUUCAUUCAUUUAG
rnacentral:lncRNA from 1 species